rnacentral:lncRNA from 1 species
CAGGAUUGGCCUGGCUGUGGUUGCUGGGGAGAUUUUCCAACUCUUCCCAAGCAACCAAUAUCAAAAACACCUGGCAAUGGGCUUCAUCAGUGGGCACACACAUGGGUUCAAGGAACGGUCAAAACAUUGGCAGACACACAGGUUCAAGGAGCAGCCAGAGCAUUGUGCACCUCUAUUUUUCUAAAUCAGUGAAACUAGUUCUGCUAGCAAUGACAUCUAUUUUGCCAAUUUCAGGGCUUCUGUGACCUUUUAUAUUCUGUCAGGAUCUUUCAGGUACAGGAGGUGAACCUUUCCUCUGUGGUCCUCUUUGCCUUACAAGACUUCCUAGUAGAGAGCUUGCCACCAGUUCCCCACAGAACAGGGUGCCCUGCAUUCCUGCCUUCCCCUCCAGCCUGGGUGUUGCCCUGAUCUUGCAAGCCUGUUUGACUCAAUGGCAUUUCAGUAAAGUCCCAACUUUGCAAUUUUGUAGUACAAUGUGUGUGUGUGUGUGUGUGUGUGUGUGUGUGUGUGUGUGUGUGUGUGUAAAACACCCAGAGAGCUUUGGUGCCGGCUGCCCCUCCCCAGGAACCUGGCCUUGGGGUUCGUGCUGAUGACCAGGAGAUAGUAGAUAAGAACCUGCACCUUGGACCUGAGGUCUUAAAGGCCUCAACUCUUCACAAUCCCAAUGAUUACAUUCCAGUUUGGAGUCAGCAUGGGCAUGUCCUUAUCUGGGAAGAUUGAGAUAGCUUUUUUGAUUUCCAGUGUUCAUUUUAUUGUUUCCAGGCCAGUUUUACCUCUACCAGUUUCAAAAGAAUGCAACUUGCUCCUGUCCCAACCAGGAAAAUCUAUUUCCCUAAAGACAAGGCCCAGUCAGGAAAGAAUGAGAGCAGCAAAGCAUCUUCUGUGUGAUGGUGUAUCCAGGACUGUAGCCUCCCUCAGCCCUGAAGCAGGAUGAUCCAGACUUUGACCUUGCUGCAACUGAGAAGGAGAUUAGCUAGAUUCCAACCUAGAUGGCUCUUUUGUUCUGUCACAUGCCACUGCUCUCUCCAAGACACUACUACCUGCUGAGAAGCCCCAGAGACAUUCCGGAGGAACAACCUAUUCUGCAUGUCACCUACAGGCUGGCUCCAGACACCAAGAAUGAACUGGCG